UACUGGGCUCUGACGGCAACUUCAUGUGACUGAAGAGCAUGCUGGAAAGUUUCCUAGAUUAAAGGCAACUCCAGACUCGAGCCUAUCCAAUUACUAUAUAAUCCAGAUGAAAACUUCAAAAUGGAACACUGGCAAUUUCAACCCUAUCAGUGUCUGGAAGAGACCAGAAUGAAGGACAGUGAGAACAUGAUGGAAUUUUAUGAGUCAAGUGCACUGGGCUUUCUAAACUACUGAAGACAGAAAGUCUUAAAAUUGUUAUCUAAGGGUUCCCACCCCUAAGAGUGAUCCCUGCAGGCUGUGCUCCUCCAAAAUUGGUACCCUCAAGAGCAGAAUUGUCAAGUAAGAUGUUUUCUUUCCCAAUCACCUCUUCUCUAAUGUCUUACUAGAGAGAAAAAUGUGGAAGACAGUCUGUGGUGGCAGCGGGUCCCAGUAGUACCCUUCAGGGUGACCAGGUCCGUGACACCCUUCUCUUCCUUCCACACUUCUCUCAAUGCCUUGCUCCUAUCUCUCUUUCAAGACCCAGUUAGCACCUUGCCACGUCCAAGAAGUGGGCUAGUAUCAUGGGAAAAGUGCUGGACUGAAAGGUCUAGGCCCAAAUCUUGGCUCUGUUCCUUAACUAUUUAAGGAAAAUCUCUUGUCUUCUUGAUGACUGUGUUUUCUAAUCCUUAAAAUGGGAACAAUAAUACUUGCUUCACAGCAUUGGAUACUUGGCACGUGGUGGGUGGUAAGUAAAUACGUAUGUAUGUAUUUAUUUAAAUGCCUCCGCCAGUAACUCCAGCAUACCUAACUUCUCUUCCAUCUUCCCGAGCCCAGGGCACAUCACUUGUAACACUCACUUGUCACCACCAUGGGAUAGUUUUGUACUUGCAGACUUAAGAGAUGAGUGGUUUGAAUCUUUGAAUACAUAACAGCACUUCAGACUCUUAAGCAGGGUGUUCCUCUGUCCUCAGACAUCUUAGAAGUGUUGGAAGAAUUAAUAUCAAAAUCACAUGUAUCUUUCAUGGCUCUUUCUGUCAAGCUGAUGUUUCCAAAUAACGAAGGUAAGUGGUGGAGGUGUGCUGGUGUGAUAGAGGAGUAGGAAAAUAAGAAAGGGAGUGGUUAUUGAGGCAUAUCAAAUAGCAGAGGGAGUAAAUGUACUUCAAAUGACUUAGAACUAGGGCACUGGAUCUCCCUAGCUAAUAUCCCUUCUCUUUCUCAAAAAGCCCUCAAAUAUGCUGAAGGGAAUGUAGGAUUGUCAACUCAAUCUUUCCCUAGUUUCUUUCCCUAGUUUUCUCAUAGUCCAGAUUCAAGGAAUGUUCUAUUCCAUUAGUGGUGGGAUCCUGAAAAUCAUACUGUUACAGAGAGAGGGUAAUCUGUUCUGCUUUGUACUUAGCUCUAUGGGGGUCAGGACCAUGGUUCAUUUUGUGUCUGAUCAUAGCACCUACCUUUGUACUUCUGUGAAUGAUUUUUGUCUUCUAAAAAUAUGUAUUAGGUGAACUUUGGGAAAUUCUUUUCUUUGUGUUGAAUAGGAAAUUUGAGGAGAAUUUUCUCUCUGCAAAGUACUAACAUUUUCUUUGCUAUUAAGGGGAUUCUAUUAAUUUUUCAACAUCUUUCUUCAAUAACUUAUUAUAGUAUCUUAAAUGAUUUAAAGUCUGCCAAAUCAUAAAAAUUUUAUUGCUUUUCCUCUAUCUGGAAUGAAUUUAUGGAUAUCAGAUUUGCAUAUUAACCAUAAAUGAAAGAGAAAAAUCCUUUAAUUAUAUGCAUUUUUUAAAGGUACCACAUUGCCUACUGAGAAAUUAGCUUCAUUAAUUGACUACAGUGUCACUGUACAGAAAUUCCUGUGUAAUCUCUUAGUGUUGCAUCAAUUCUUAUUCAUCCCAUUAAAUUUAUGAAAUGUGAUGAGCUCUCACCCAAAGGACUAGUAAUUUAGAUAUACCUUAUAAUUAACCCAAACUUCUUUGAGGGUCUACAUCAGAGAAAAAAUUAAAUAUGGAUUUUAAAAGUCUUCAAAGACACUACAGAAUCCUGGUCAUUUGUUUACUGUGUUAUUUUUAAAGUGCUAUAAAGAAUUAAACCCAAGUUACUAAAAGGUUGAGCACUUGUAAAGAAUUGAAAAAUUGUAUAUAUAUAUACAUAUAUAUAUAUACACACACACACACACAUAUAUAUAUACACACACACACAAUACAGUAUACUGCUUCCUGUGUUUCUUCUAAGUGGAAAAGUUAUAUUAUGUAGCUAUUUCUCACAUUUUUACAUAAAAUUAUUUUCUACCAUGACAAAAUGAAUCCCAUGUUGUUCUUGUUGUUGUUGUUUUCCUCUGCAUUUCCUAGAAAAUUAGGAGAAGCCUAUGAGCUGAAUCAUCAUAGUAGGUAUCAAGGUUCUUCACUGUAUGUAUGUAUGUAUGCAUGAUACAAUAUCUGUACCUAGCAAAUCUUGUCUCUCAUGUUCCUUUUCAGCCAUACCGAAUCCCUCCCUUCCUUAAUAUACCAUGCCCUUUGGAUCUGCUGUUUGCACUGACUAAAGCACCCUUUACUUGGUUAAUUUCUACUCAUCGUCUAGGCCUCAGUGUAGAACUCACCUCCUCCAGGCAGCAUUCCCUCACUGGCUGAGGCUUGGUGGACUGUCCCCUCCUAUGAACUUACAUAGCACUCUGGGAUAGCUCUCUUUGUCAUAGCAUUAAUCACAUAAUAUGAAAAUUUCACUUGUCUGUGCCCCUUCUGUAAUGGUAUACUCUAGGAAGACAGAUGCCAUCCUCUUCAUCUUUGCAUCCCCUGUGCCUACCCUGGGUGAGGCAUGUAGAGAUCUUCAGCAGAUCUCUACAAAGGAAGGGGGGACUAGAUAGUGCAUUAUUACUAUUGCGUUGAGCUUUGAAGACACACAGAUGUAGAGAAAGUGACUUAUGUCUGAGUUUUUGUAGUGUGAUGAUCAAUUUGUUUUAGGUUUCAAAUUCUAACCUAAAGUGCUGUGUGAUGUUCACAAGUAGUCGAGAAAGUACCACGUAGGUACUUGUCUGUCACUUUUCAGAUAAAUGUACCAGUGGGGCCAUUGCAUGCCUUUCAUGUGACCCUAUUUACCUACAUGGGGUAGCCCACAUGUCAGUGUUAGUUACCAAACAGCAAAUCAAGCACACGGAUUCUUAACAGAUUGAAUCAUUCCAUUUUCUGGAAGAGAAUGUAACUACAAUUUUGAUAUCAGUCAAGGGAGGUAUCGUUCUAAUGUUACACAUAUGCAAGACCUUUCCUAUGCUACAGAGCUAUUUCUGGGUUUCUUAAGCCCCUCCAUUCCAUCACAAGCUUCUUGCAUGUCUUCUUGAAGCUUUAACAACCACAGUGUCAAAUAUGGUGCCUAGGACGUUACAGGUGCUCUGGGAACAGUGAACAAAUUACAGAGUAACAAUUUUGAGUGUUAUACAGGCAUACGGUCACUUUUCAUGUUAUAUUUAAUUCACUCCUCACAGCAGCACCAAGAAGUAUUAAUUGUGAUCCUUAUCUUAUGGAGAAGGAAAUGGGGAUUUAGAGAUGCUGUAAGUGUGCCCAAGGUCACGUUACUUCAAUGUUGGGGCAGAAGUUCAAUUGAGGAGAGUCUGGUCUGUAGCCCACCCCUGUUCCACCACUACACUCUGCCUUUCAUUACAUGCUUACUGAACCAAUUUAUUAAUAAUUUCCAUAGGAGACAAAUGAAUCAUCCGGCACAGCUAAUUCAUCUGGAGGAGGGGUGGACAGGAAGUAUGUUGAUGGGUUAUAUAACUGAACUUUUGUCUUUGAGACCAGUAGAAUUAGCUAUUAAGGAUAAUCAGAAACACAAUAUAAACAGUAAAUAGAGCUGUGAAUACACUAAUGUGGCAUGCAGACGUAGGAAAGGGAGUAACUCUUCUUGAUAAAAAGCAUCAAUCUAACUUCACCCACAGGUCUUUAAGAGAAACAAGAUAAGGCAGAAAUGGCUAGUUGACCAUGUCUUCCAUCCAUUCUCCCUUUCCUCCUUGGAAACACAAUACUAAAGGUCACAGCUCCUAACCUCCCUUGCAGCUAGUUUUGGUACACUGAAUUGUGUGAGAACUUCACACAAUUUUCUUCAGAGGGAAGUUUCCUUCAAAGGGAAGAGGAGUACCCUUCUUCCUUUUUCCCUCUGGCUGGGAUGCAGAUGUGAUGGGUUGAAAUCAAAUAGCCACUGUGGAUUAGGAGAUGACAGGCCCAGAGUUGACCAAAGCAGCGCCAUAGGAAGAGUCUAGUUUCUGAUGACCUUAGAGCAGCCAUUUCUGCUCUGGAUUGCCAAAUUCUAGGCUUCUUCUAUGUGAAAAGGUAACGAACUGUCAUCUUGUUUAAGCCAAGAAUGGCAGUGGAAAUAGCCAAUUUAGUGAUUUCCGUCAUUCAAAAAGUGUCCCUUCUGCGUGUGACUCUGUUUGUAUUCAAUUUAUUUCAUCUUACAAUACUGCAGCUGUUCAUAUUUCCUGGACACCAAGUGUGGUGCACAAUAAUACUAGCAAGCAGCAAAUAUCAUUACUGUGUCAUAGGCUGUUUGGGUAUUGAUCCUAUCUAACAAGUUCACAGUCCUUUGAACUUCAGAGUCCUUUGUAGGUGACUGAUUUAAGACCAGGAGGCCACAUGUAAACCCUCCAGAUGAUCUCAAAUUUUUCAUUAUACCAUUUAGAAAAUUAGGCCCUACUUCGGCUAUCCCUGAUCUGACCAUUAUUCAAUGCUACAUCAUUUCCCCCUCAAAUGGCAUAUUAUAUACUACUUGAUACUUAGCAAAUGUUUACUGAGUUUACACAUAAUACUGUGUGAAACAUUGUGUUGUAUACAGCAAAUUCACAGACGGAUUGUAAAAGGUUUUGAAUCUUUUAGAAAGUAAUCAGUUUAUUGAAUGAGGUAAACUCUGUGGGGCACACAUAGGAAAUGGCUUUAUUUUUCUCUAACCUUCAAACAUGCACUUUCUCAUUCCUGCCCUGUAGAUAACCCCUCACAUAGAUCUCCUUGCUUUUCAGCCACUUUAAGUAAGGUUUACUUACUUGUCAGGUAUUAAAAGACAAGUACAGUUCAGUCUAAAUCCAAACCCAACAUCUAAUUCUCUAACCCAAUUAUAUCUUAUCUCACAUAUAAUUCAAAGGUUCCCUUGGCUCCUCCAGCCCCCAGCCCAGGCCUGCUCCAAAGCUCAGGUACCCAGAGUAAGCAGGGUGUGUUCCCUCCCUCUUCCAUUACUCUCGACCCAUUGUAGUAAAUGCAACUCCAUUCUAAUCUCCACCCUUUAUUCCUGCCACAUUCCCUCUUGCUCACUUCUCUCCAGUCCCGCUGGCUCCUUUCCACCCCAGAAAAUACUGUAAACAUGUUCUUGCUAAGGGCCUUUGGAUUUUCUAGUCUCUCUGCUAAAACACCCUUCCCCCAGCUACCUGCAUGCCUUGCUCCCCCACCGUUAGGCCUCAGACCAAAAGUCCUCUGAUCCGUGAGAUCUUCCCUGACCACUCCCAUCUCAAAUUACACACACCCACAGCGAUCACUUACUCUGCUUUAUUUUUCUCACCUCAUCAUCUGAUAAGUUACACUUCUGCUGGGAAACAAGGUGCCUGUCUCCCCUUCUGCAGAUACCUUUCCAUCUUUAUGGGGGAGGUUGGGAGGUAGCACAAUUUUCUCUCUGUGUGAGAAGAGGAGGAAAAAGGGUCAAAACACUCUCCACUUCUUUGAAUUCCUGUUAUCCUUGACUUCUUCAAUGAUCUUUAACAAUUUGGCCCUGUCAUAUUUUUAUGUGGAGGUGAGGGUUUCAUAGAUACUGAACUGAUUUGUUUUCUUUUAUGAAGUUUGGCCUGGAUGUUUCAGACACUCUACUUAGAAUGGGGUGGGGUGUGUUUGUGUGUAAUUGUCUCUUAUUAUUCCCGGCUUUGGGACUUUAGCUAAAAACAGACAACAUGCUGAGUAAAUAGGAAUCUUCUCACCAACUAAUGUACUCUAUUACAAAAAGAACACUUGAAUUUGAGUUCACCGUUAUGAUAUGAACAGAUGGUUCCAAGAAUUCAAGAUGUCCAGUUUUUAGGAAAUAGGAACCUAGGCAUUUCUAGAGCUCGAAAGCAGUAUAAAAUUGUUUAUGCAUCACUAUGGUAUAAAGCUACUGGUUCUGGCUGUGUAGGGUUCAUUCUUCUUUCUUCUUGGACUAACACCCUUUGGCUGCAAUGAAUGUUCAUGGAUGAACAUGUGACCAAAUUUGGUCCAAUUAGAACAAAUACUUGGGUGUGGGCUGGACAGGAAUCUGGAAGAUAUAUGCCUAGUGCUGCUGGGGACCUCCCAGGGAGAGAACUUGCCUCAGAGUGAAGGCAAUAAAAAGGGAAGUGAAUGCGAGGGAUGGAAAGAGACCAAGGUGCAGUCAUAUUGCACUGGAUCCAGCCAUGCCUGCAGUCAAUGCCUAGACUUUUUAUAGGAGUCAAUUAAUUUCCUUUUUUUCAUAAGCCAAGUGGUUUGGCUUUUUAUCACUUGCAGCCCAACUGUCCUGGUUGUCAUUCCAUUUAUUGACUUUAAACCCUUGCCUGUGCGUUGUCAUCAGAGCUGCUAUGUCCCUGGCGUAUUUUCUCAAGAUGGACUUUUUCCAGGGAGUGAUGAUAAUUGCAAGGACCUAUUAAUGUCCCAUUCUGGGAUUCUUCUGGCCACAGGGCACAAUGGAAGAACUAUUGUUAAUAAUUAUUUUGACAAAUACAGUAAUGUUAUAUUUGGUUGCAUAGUUGUGUUUAUGAUUCUGAAUUUUUCUGUUCUACGUAUCCCUGAAGAAGUUUUCUUUUCUUAUUCAUUUCCCAUAAUAGUUCAACAUGGAAGGCUUAAGCGUGCCUGAGUGGCUCAGUGGGUUAAGCGUCCAACUUCGGCUCAGGUCAUGAUCUCACUGGAGCCUACUUCAGAUGCUGUGCUUCCCCCUCUCUCUGCCCCUCCUCCUCUCACGCUCUGUGUCUCUCUCUCUCAAAAAUAAAUAUUUAAAACAUAAUAAUUUCACAUGGAAGGCUUAUAUUCUUUUUAUUCAUCAUUUUUAUUAGUUAAUCUUUAGAGAAACUCUACAAAUAUCUUUAGGUUACUAAUCUUUUAUGUUCAAGUAUAAGUUGUAUAAUUAACUCUAAAGGUAUCAAAACUCUUUAAGAAAUCUAAAAUCCUUUAAGAUCUAAAAAAAUAUAUUCUCUCUAGUGCCUGAGACAUUCUUCUAAUAAGGAGAUUUAUCAAGUAAUAUAUACCCCAGAGUGGUUUACAUCUUUGAGAACUUGUAGCAGUGUUAUUGUUGGGAAGAUUAAUUUUUUUGGACAAAAUUAGAAAUUAUCCCUAAUAUCAAGAUUUUAUACACCCAUUAAGGAUCUAAGUUUAAUUUCCUCCUUUAAUAUUAAAAAAAGUUAAUGUUUAUUUUUGAGAGAGGGAGAGACAGAGUGUCAGUGGGCAAGGGGUAGAAAGAGAGAGACAGACAGAAUCCAAAGCAGGCUCCAGGUUUUGAGUUGUCAGCUCAGAACCGGACACAGGGCUCAAACUCAUGAACUGUGAGAUCGUAACUUGAGCCAAAGUUGGAAACUUAAUUGAGGAGCCACCCAGGCGCCCCUUUCCUCUUUUUAUUCUUAACAGAAAACAUUUAUGGAAAGAAAUAUCAAAAUUUGAGACGAGAUUUGAAAUCAAAUUCAUUAUAGAUUCAACCAAAAGGAAGAACUUUGAGCACCAGAAUCCAUGAAAUGUUAUAUGGCAUUUGGUUUUGGUUUUAUCCUUCUAAUAAGUAUGUGGAGAAACUGGAGAGGUUCCUAAGAAAAACAGGAAAAGAUUAAUGGGUAGAACAUGGGAUAGGUAAGGAAAGAACUGUUCUUUCCUUUCCCGAAAAAGGGAAAGCUGACCUUAAAAUUCCUGUGUUUGGGGGUGCCUGGAUGUCUCAGUCAGUUAAGUGUCCGAGUUCAGCUCAGUUCAUGAUCUCAUGGUCCUACUUUGAGCCCCACCUCAGUCUCUGUGCUGACAGCUCAGAACUGGAGCCUGCUUCAGAUUCUGUCUUGCUUUCUCUCUGCCCUUCCCCCGCUCAUACUCUGUGUCUUCCUCUCUCUCUCUCUCUUUCUCUCUCUUUCUCUCAAAAAUAAAAAUUAAAGAUUUUUAAAAGAAUAAUAAAAUGUUUAUUAAAAAUAUACUUGUGUCUGCUCACUUAUUAAUUCACUAAGCAAAUAUUUAUUGCAUGCUUACUGUAUACUAGGCACUAUGAUAAGUUUUCAUCCUAUGGGAUGGGAAAUAGAUAUAAAAAUAAAUCAUACAAAUUAUGAAAAGAGCCUAAAUGUCCAUCAACUGGUGAAUGGAUAAAGAAGAUGUGGUUUAUAUAUACAAUAGAAUACUGCUUGGCAAUGAGAAAGAAUGAAAUCAUGCCAUUUGCAGCAACAUAGAUGGAACUGGAAGGUAUUAUGCUGAGUGAAUAAGUCAGACAAGGACAGAUAUCAUAUAUUUUCACUCAUAUAUGGAUCUUGAGAAACUGAACAGAAGACCAUGGGGGAAGGGAAGGGUAAAAAAUAGUUAGACAGGGAGGGAGGCAAAUCACAAGAGACUCUUAAAUGCAGAGAACAAACUGAGGGUGGAUGAGGGAUGGGGGAGAGGGAAAAUGGGUGAUGGGCAUUGAGGCACUUGUUGGGAUGAGCACUGGGUGUUGUAUGUAAGCCAAUUUGACAAUAAAUUAUAUUCAUAAAAAAAUAAAUAAAUGGCUAUAAUCACUAAUAAUGUUAAGUAAGAGAGAGGUUCCAAGUACUAUGGGAAUCUGGAAGAAGAGCCGGUGAACCUGUGAGGGCAGUGAUCAGGGAAACUUCCAGUGGAGGUGGGGUUUGACCUUGAGGGAUGAGCAUGAAUUUUCCUAGUGGAUAGGGAAGAUAAUUUCAGGAAACGUGCAAAAUAAAAACAGUGAGGAUUCCCCGAGUAGAUUACAAUGGAGAGGGAAGAAGGCAGGAGUGGACUGGAUAACAAAAGAGACAAAGGUAGGCAGGGAGGCAGGUGCCUGGCUAUUCUUUAGAAUUUGGAGCUGUCUUAAAGGCAAUGGGGCAUGGCUGAAGAUAUUAAUUUAGGGAGGAAAAUUAUAUUUGUGUUAAAAAAAGCCUUUGU